rnacentral:lncRNA from 1 species
GUCUACUGCCGCGUCCCGCCAAGGACCUGGACCUGCUCAGUGCCAAGCUGGAGACGCGAGACCUGUGCUUCCUGGGCCCCCUCUUGGAUUCCAGGGCUGCAGCAGACUCACAGGGGCCAGGGAGCGAAAGGACCCCGGGGGCGGCCAGGCCGGCUCAGGCUGGAGGCGGGGAGCUGCCCGCUCGGGGCAGGAGGGCCUCCUACAAGUGCAGGGUGUGCUUCCAGCGCCUCUGCAGCCUGGGCGAGCUGGACGUGCACAAGCUGGCGCACAGCCCCUCGCCGCCCCC